CAAUAGCGUAUAUUUAAGUUGCUGCAGUUAAAAAGCUCGUAGUUGGAUUUCGGGUGGGAAUGGCCGGUCCGCCGUUUCGGUGUGCACUUGCUACGCCCACCUUGCUGCCGGGGACGUGCUCUUGAGUUCACGCUCGGGACACGGAGUCGGCGAGGUUACUUUGAAUAAAUUAGAGUGUUCAAAGCAGGCCUACGCUCUGAAUACAUUAGCAUGGAAUAACACGAUAGGACUCUGGCCUAUCUUGUUGGUCUGUAGGACCGGAGUAAUGAUUAAGAGGGACAGUCGGGGGCAUUCGUAUUUCAUUGUCAGAGGUGAAAUUCUUGGAUUUAUGAAAGACGAACUACUGCGAAAGCAUUUGCCAAGGAUGUUUUCAUUAA
rnacentral:rRNA from 1 species